rnacentral:rRNA from 1 species
AUUGAACGCUGGCGGCAUGCUUUACACAUGCAAGUCGAACGGCAGCACGGACUUCGGUCUGGUGGCGAGUGGCGAACGGGUGAGUAAUACAUCGGAAUGUACCCAGUUGUGGGGGAUAACGCUUCGAAAGGAGUGCUAAUACCGCAUACGACCUUCCUUAAUUGGUUGGGGAAAGUGGGGGACUCGCAAGGGCCUCACGCAAUUGGAGCAGCCGAUGGCUGAUUAGCUAGUUGGUAGGGUAAAGGCCUACCAAGGCGACGAUCAGUAGCGGGUAUUAGAGGACGAUCCGCCAAACUGGAACUGAGACACGGUCCAGACUCCUACGGGAGGCAGCAGUGGGGAAUCUUGGACAAUGGGCGCAAGCCUGAUCCAGCAAUGCCGCGUGGGUGAAGAAGGCCUUCGGGUUGUAAAGCCCUUUUGUCAGGGAGGAAAUCCUGCUUUCUAAUACAAAGCGGGGAUGACAGUACCUGAAGAAUCAGCACCGGCUAACUACGUGCCAGCCGCCGCAGUAACAC